AUGAAAACCAAAGUGCCUGUCAGGCAGGGGGCAAGGACAGAAGAGAAACGCCCCCGCUCCCAGGGCCGGGUGAGAGACUGUGGGGACCAGCUCAGGGACCCCCACCCAGAGGGGCCGCCACUUCCACGGGGAAUGCUGGUCGGAGUGGGCUCUGGACCUUCCCGCGUGAGGAGACGACAGGAGCCCAGGCCUUACGUGGCCUCUCUGCCUCCAAACCCGGGCCGCCGGCUCCCUGCACAGGCUGGGGCGGCGUGGGGCGGGCGGAAGAGCCCGAUCCCUCUGCGGCCGGCCUGCUUGAUUCGGGCCCAGCGGACCCUGACCCUGGCCCUGGAGGCCGCUGCGGCCCCCACCCAGCUCCUCAGCAGCCACAUGGCUGCCGGCCCUCACACCCCAGGGCGGCGCACAGGGCCUGGGCCUGACGACGUCCUUAGGGUCCCUGAGCAGCCGGGUCCUCACGGCCCUCGGCGACCCGGGGUCCCCGGGAUGGAGCGAGGCUCUGGGCCUUCAGCAGACGCCGGGGCCCCAGACAGCCCUGACCCGAGCUCCAGAGACAUCCGAGCCCAGGCUCCGAGAGAACCACCCCCGGCCGGGUGCGUCCGAGUCAGUGCUCCCCCGAAGGCGGGGACGUCGGGCGAGAAGCAACUGCAAGGACUCGCGGGAAGAAGCCACCGGGAAUCAUGGCGGCCGCGCUCGGAGGGACGGCUUUGCACGCUCCCGACACAGGUGGCUAAUGCGGAAUCCUGGUCAACAAAGUCUGCAGCCCUGCAGCCUGCUGCGAUGUUUGCUGAGCAGCAGACACAGGUGAAGAGUUGCUCUGAUAACGCCCUGAUCUGCUGCAGCUGUAGGUGAAGGAGCAGCUUAGGAUAGAAAUCAAGAUAAGAGCAACAAACCCAGGCUCCCGCGAGAAGCCAGUGGGUGUCCAACUUGAGGGCGGAGGAAGGCCCCGCACUGCCUGGACAAGGACUGACUGCGGCAAAUUCACUCCGGGGCUGGGCGUCCACGUCCAGCCAGAACACGAUCUUGCCGGGGUGCGCCGCUCACCCAGGCCCCGCCGUCCGCGCCGUGAGGGUGCUCAGCUCUGCGUGGCUUGACUGUGGGCCCUCAGGUGUCCUUGUCCAGGGCUCAGCCUCCCCAUCCUCUGCAGCGGGGACAUUCUAAGUGAGUGUCUUGUUUAAAAAACAAAGGUGGUAAAAACUGGAGUGUGAGAGGUUAACAAGUUGGCUCCUGCUUUACUACGGGGGGUCCCUGGCAGCUCCUCUGUUGAAGGACGCAUGGGGCAUCUGUGCCGCUCUCGUAGGGACGUUUCCAGGGCCUUGUGUGACUGUGUUCACGUCUGCCCCUCUCACCUCUGAGCUCCUCCCCACCGCGCUUGUGAGUGGAGCAGCCCAGGAGACUGUAUGUGGGGUUUUCCAACCACAAAGCGUGGGGGCUUUGGAGUCUGACGUGCUCCUCGGCGUGGCCACAUGUGCCUCUUUCUCCACUCCUGGCCAUCAGCUGCCCUCAAGAAGUCAGCCACCCCUGCAGACGGACAAUGAGUACGCAAAGCCAGGGAGGAAGGGCUUUGUCGGGGGAGCUUGGCGUAGGCGUCCACUUCGUCAGGGCCUCAGCUCUUGCCUGGUGAUUCCUGUGGGCUGAUGUACCCAUCACGGGGCACAGAGUGGGACGCCUGCCAUGCCGUCCUCCCUGCAAACCACAGCCAACGUCCAGGCCCCGCCUUUCACUCGAAGCUCAGUCCUUGUUCUGCCCGGGGGAUCUGGUGCAUCCUGCUGUGUCCAAGGCCCUUGCUAUGGUCCCUGGAGUGGUCUCAGGGGCUGUGCCACACCGCAGGGGCCUCGGAUGGCCCCCAUGUCUCACUGAGCAGACAACCAAUUUUCAGUAUGCAGGUGACAAGCAAGAAGCGGCGUCACCCCUAAACCUUGAGUUUCUUUGCCAAGCAGGAAGCGGUGUCACCCCUAAACCUUGAAGUUCUCCAGUCCUGGGCGUCCCCACUGCCUCCUUCCGGGUCACGUGUUCACAGAGCUAGGGGAAGACCCAGAGACUCCAAUGUAUCCUCCAGGACCUGCAGAUGGGCAGAGGCAGAGGCAAGUCCAGCACCCGUGCGGUGCAGUGGAGACCCAGAGAUCAGGCCAGGUGCCUGCAUCUGUGCCGGCUAUGCCACCGCAGCAGCGCUGUCCCCAGACACCUGGAACCGUCUGCGUGCACAGGCUCGUGGCUGCCCUGGCGGAGGUGCCCCAUGCACCCCCUCAUCUGAUGUCAGGUACACUCCUGCCCCAGGCCAGUGCUGUUGCAAAGCUGGAGUUUGUGUUCAGGCUGAUUAUCUUGAACUUAGGCUAAUCUUCCA
ensembl:lincRNA